rfam:Myxococcus xanthus DK 1622, complete genome.
GCGCGAUUAGCUCAGCUGGAUAGAGCGUUGGCCUCCGGAGCCAAAGGCCGCAGGUUCGAAUCCUGCAUCGCGCG